UUUUUUUUUUUUUGAUAUAUAGUUAAUUUUAGUAUAUAAUAGAUGUUUACCUACAAUAAUUAGGAUGGUUGAGGUGUUUUUUUUUUUUAAAUAAAGAUCAAGAAUGAAAGGAAGAGCAAUAUAGUUAAUCUUUUGUUUUUAGUCAAUAUUCAUCCUAUUAAACAAAUCUAAGGUUACAACAAAUAUUUCAACUUAUCAAGAGAAAUAUAUAGAAUUCAGUUGGGUGGACAGAUUCCAAUCACUAUUUUCUUAGCCACCUAAUCAACUAUCUUGUUUCCUUCUAUGAAGAUGUGAUAAAAUUCAAUGUUGGAGCUUGAAGAUAGUUAUUGUAUAUCAUGAAUGAUCAUACGAGCAUCACUUUUAUCAUUGACCACAUUAAUCAUGAAUGAUAUUUUUUUCUUGAGAGUAUCUGAAAAUGUACCACUCCUUAGCCAGAAUGACAAUGAUUUUAAAUAAAUAAUGCUACAUCCAAUAUUCGAAGGCAUUUAUUGAUAUUCCAAUCUAAAAUAUGAUCAUAAUAUCGCGAUAUAGUGUUGCUAACAUAAUUGUAAACUUUAAAAUGAUGAUUGGGUCUCAUACUAAUCUUAGAGAACUUCCAUAUAUACUUAAUGGAAUAAGGGUAUCAGUAUCUUAGGGAUAAGUAUUAAGACCUUGUCUAGAGAAAAUUUCAUUUUUCUAUUAACUUCAGUGAGUAUUGAUGCUUACUAGUCAGUAUUGAUAUUUAUGCUUGAGGUAUCAAUACCCAAAUACUAAUACGGAUACCUAACUCAUCCAAAAACCUCAAAUGGUUAUCAACUUUCUUAAGCAUCGACAACCCUAAUUGGGUAUCACUACCUGGCUGCAGAACAACCCAUAAUUUGACUCCUAAGCAACCCAUAACAAAACCGAUCUACUAACAAGCAUAGUUAUCAAUUACGCUCCAAAUGAUACAACUCUAAUUAACCUAGGUACAUGCAAUUAUGAAACCAACUUAAAAGCAUGACAUUUCACUUGUUGGAUUGUGACCCUGAUGAUGCAGGAAUUGGCAGCAGCAUUCCUUAUCACUCCAAACUUAUGCAAGCAUUUGAAAAUGUUUAGUGAUGCUCCAUUGAAUCAUGAUUUAGGCCAUUUACACACCGACUUAUGAUUACUAUCUCUUCUUACCCUUAUUUAAUUUACUAGCUCAUUUCUUUUUAGAUUUUAGCUAUGUUACAAAUUCAGAUAUAGUGUUGGGUAUGUUAUGCCCUCCACCUUAUGAAUCAACAAGUUUCUACACCAGUACUUUUCCCUUUUGAAUUUACUAAUUUAUACCAAGUUUCCAUAUCUUCUCAUUUACCCAAUCUAUCCCAUUCAUUACUAUACCUUAUACUCAUUAAGUUAACAAUGUACCAACUCUCAUUACCGAUUGCCUUACCUACUCUUUUACAAAUUCCCGAUCUCAUUUACUAAGCUAUUUCUAUUACACUUUUACUCCAUGCAAUUUACAAACCUCAUAUUGCAAUUUCAAAUGUGACUCUAUUAAACUUUUAUUUCACUUUCACGAUGCAUCUAUUUCUAAGUGCAAGUUUUGAACAUCAUCCAUCACAUACUAAUUUUUCGUCUCUUAAAAAUUAUAUAAACUCUUUAAAUUCAUUCCGGUAAUUCAUUUAAAUUUGAUUAUACCAUAUCACAAUUUCAUCAAUAGUCAAUAGUACGAUUUCAUUCAUAGUCCUUACUAAUAGAGAUGGAAUAUAAGCAAGAUUCGUGAAAUAUAUUCAUCUAAACACUCCAAAUACACCUAUGGUGCAAUCCAACCAAAACACUCCAUAACAAUCAUAUAAGCACUUAAAUGCACCCUUAUGAACAUUCCAAGUACUUAUAUGUAUAACAUUAAAAUAAUAUACAAAUUUAGAAUUAUAUGAAAGUAAAUACAUAAAUAUUUAUAUUAAAUUAAUCAUCACUAAAAAUAAAUGUUGAAAUCUGAUUUUUUUUUUUCAAAAACAAAUUUAUAGAACAUUUUUCACCUCCACCCAACAAAUAAUGGAUAAAUAAACAAUGGAUUUAAGAUUGCUUGCUUCGAAUAGUAUAAACAACUUACAAAAGAAAUUUAACAAAUAAUAUGAUAACAUUAUAUUACCUCAUCAUCGAUGAAAAUAAUAUUUUAUCUCUUUUCAGUGUUAUUGUUGUUUGAAUAUGAUUCGAUAUUACUUCUUCGAAGAACCAUAGCUUGAAGGCUUCAUUCUUUUUGAAAUAAUUCUAACUUAUUAUUGCUAACAUUCUUCAUUUUUUAUCAGCAAUUUUUCUUAGAUGCUACUUGGUUGCAUAUAGCUAACUAUUCAAUGCUAUUUAUAAAGCUAAAGUUAAAUUUUAAUUGACAUAUAAUUCUAAUGCUAAUUAAGUGGUAAUCAAGAUGCUUAGAGUUUUAUUCCGUUAAUAACUCUAUUUUUAUAUAAAUAAAAUUAGCACAAUUUUUUUUAAAAAAAUCAUUUUUAAUUAUAAUAAUGUUAAAAUUAAAUUAUAACUAUUCUAACUAAUAAUUGUAAAUUAAAUUAUAAUUAUAAUUAUCAUAAUUUUUAUUAUAUUUCAUGCUUAGAGGAAUUUGAAGUAAUAAUUCUAUUUUAGAAUUAGCAAAAUUUUGUUUACAUCAAACUUUUUAAAAUAAUAAUUAUUUUUAAAUGUGUAGUUAUCAUAAAUUUUAUUAAAUUAGAAGUAUAUUUAAAUGUAUAAUUAUUAGAACUGUUACGUUAAAAUUUUAAUUAAUAACUCUAAAUUAAAUAUUAUAAUUAUUUUAAAAUAUUAUAAUUAUAAUUAUUUUUAAUAACUCUAAAUUAAAUACAUUAGAUAGAUAUACAAUUAAUGAAAGUAAUAAAGUGUGCAUAAUAAAAUUAAAAUGUAUAAAAAUAUUCAAAUAAAGCUUUAACUCAGUGAUAAAUUAAAAGUUUUAUAGCAAUAGGUUCGGGUUCAAAUCUUAUUAUAUGCAUAUGUUUAUUAGUUUUUUUUAAAUAAAAAGAUUAAAAUACUAUCAAAUAAUAUAACUGAUUUUAAUUACGGAAGGACAUUUCUACAAUUUUUUUAACCGAGUUGGUAAUCCGGUUGAGGGUGACACCAACUUAAUUAAGAGCUUAAAUAAUAGUAUAAAAGUAUAGAUAUACAUAAAUAGAUAAAAAUUUAGAAGACAUAUAUACUUAUAAAAGUUUCAAAUGAAAAUUAAAAAUUGUUUUAGUUCAAUUGGUAAAUAAAAGAGUUUUAUAUGCAUGAUGCCUUUAGUUCAAAUCUUGUUAGAUUAUAGAUUAAAUAUUUCCGGAUACCACUGUUGUUUUAUGUUUUAAGUAAACCUGGCGAGGGUUUGUUUAGAUAUUUUUGGAAAAGAGAGAUAGAAAUAUAAGGUUGUUGGUAUUAACUAAAAUAAUGGAGAAUUAAUGCAAGUGCCUAACUUCUUACAAUAAAAUGAUAAAAGAAAAAUAAAUAAUAGCCGUCAACUCAAAAGGGUAUAGAUUAAGGGCCCUUUGAUAGACGUUUACUUUUAAUACGGUGCGCCGUUGUUUUUAUAUAAAAGCAUCAUCAAUCCAAAAGUGUCCUAAGUAAUGGGCAAUUAGUGCAAGUGACUAACUUCUUAAUAAUCGUAACAUAAUUAGGCAUGAGCCUAUAUACUAAAUAAUGGGCAAUUAAGUGGAAGUGUCCAACUUCUUAAGUGCUGGUGUCAACCUCGUGUUAUUCCCACCGGUCUCUCAGAUUGUUUCGACAUCCAUCCUCUGAUAUUGGCAAUGGCGGAGCAGAAGCAACAAGAGCCAUGGGCCAACCUCAGCGGAAAUGUGGUGAUGGUGACCGGGUCUUGACUUGGGUUUAUCUGGCUGUCUUAUUGUGGCUACCGCGUGCCGCGUUGGUCGCCUUAAAUCCUUCUGUGAUGAUAUCAAUCGCCUCAACUUUCCUGUUUCCGAACCUCAACCUAGUGGUCCUCGAGCUGUCGUUAUUGAGCUCGACGUAUGUGCUAACGAAUCCAAUAUUCAGAGAUGUGUGAAAGCAGCGUGGGAUGCCUUCGGGAGGAUGGAUGGUGGCUUUAGAGAUACUCCGUUUUCUAAUAUUUAUUUUACACCAUCAUAUUGGUAGGAAAAUUAGUAGGGUUUAAGUUACCUCCUCCAAUGUUAAAAUUCAUGUUAAGAUUGAGUAGUGAUGGAUUUAUUAAUGAAGAUUACUCGUAAAUUAGUUUGUUGACAAAAUUUAUGGUUCAAACCUCACAACUAAAUCAAUUUUGACUGUUGAGUAUUUAUUAGCAAAGCUGUUUAGUUGCUAUUAUUUUAUGAAAAUGUUACAAUAAGUAAAAGUAGAUAGCGCGACGGAAAAUUCAAUUAAAAUCAAUAACAAAUUAUUUUUUCAUAUAAAAGUAAAAUAUUGCAUUUUGAUUUCAAAAUAAUAUCAUAGCUUCAUCAUUGAGACCACAAACUUUAUGUAGGACAAUUAGAUGGAUGAUGUAAGGUUGUUAGUGUUGUAUCAUUUUUGUUCUAAUAUAAGUAUGUAUUGAUAUUGAUGUAUUAUUUCGGGUUCAUCCAUGUUUUUAAAUGUAUAUAUAUAUUUAUACUCUAAUUUUUAGUUUCUUAAUAAAAAUAUAUGUUAUAUACAUGUAAAUAUAUUUAUAUGUAAAUAUAAAUUUUGAAAUUAUUAAUUAAGUUCAAUAACUUAAUUUUUAAUUACAUUUUAAUUAUAAAAAUGUUAAGAUAAAAAAAAUUCAAAGCUAUUUUAAAAUAUCAAAUUUCUUGUACCAUCCGAUACAAGCCGAUACGUAUUAGUGCAAAUCGAUAUUAACCUGCAAUGACAAAAACACAUUGCAAUUUUGACCACUUAAACUAUAUUGGUUUAGGAUUGAGACGAUAAGUACCACCUGAUAUAACCUAUACCAAUGUCAUAUCUACUAGCAUGAUCAUAAACAAGCUUUUAAAAAUUAGGUUUCCCUAGCCAAUAAAAAUGGAAUUUAAGAUACAAAGUAAUCUUAACUCCAUAUGAUGAAGAUAAGAAAAAUCAAAGAUGUCUAUAUGCUCAAUUGAAGGCAAUGGUUGACCUAAAAUUUACUUAUGUUACUAGUUGUCACAACUGUGGAAAUCGAGAAAAGAGUGGAGAACAUCCUGAUUUGAUAGUUAAUAAGCCCUCUCUUAUUGAUGAAGUUGAAGAAAAAGAAGGUGGAAGAGUUAAAAAAGUUUACUAUUUGUUGAUAUAAUGGUACAAUAAGGGAGAAGUAUAGAGAAAAAUGUGGUGGUAUCAAUGGAGGUUGAUUCAUUCAAUUAGGAUGGAGAGUCGGAAGUUAUCAAAAGUGGAGGUGGAGAGAGUUUGAAAGUGUUAGGGUAAAUUUUGCAGAGUAUAGUCUAGUAUGCUUAAGAGUUGAUCCUUUCUUCAUCGUCCUUGGGGUAUAUAUAGGUGAGGUCAUGUGUAGAUGGCAUUAACAUGUUAGUCCCACAAACAAAUCAUCAUUAUGGGAUGAGUGGGGCAGAUGUCUUCGAUAGGAUGAGGAUGUCUAUGACGGGACAUAUUUUGUCAUUCAUUCUGAUUCGAUGGUAUGGAGCAGUUGAACCCACAUAGGGUUUGGUGACCAAAAGGAUCAUGUUUUUAACAAGAGAUCAGGUGCUAGGAGAGACAUGUGGUUGUCUUCCUUGAAUGGUUACCUCUCGCUUGCCUGGGCGGCUAAGAUGGAAGGUGAAGCUUUUGGUGACCUUUCAGUUGGUAGUCGUAACACCUCAAAAUACAUAGGGUUAGAAAUUUAAUUAAUUAUCAAGAAAUGAGUCUUAGUCUUAAUGGUUAAGAGUUUAGGAUAUUUAUUAAAGAACUAAGGUUUAAAACGUAAUUUUUUCCAUUUUCUUUUAUUUUAUUUUAGGAACCAAGGUCAACUAAGAUAUAUAAUAAAUGUGGUAAAAAUAAACUAAGAAUGGGCAGUAAUGGUUAAGCACUCUCCUUUUCCAUUGCACUCAACUUUAAGCCACACCAAACUUAUUUCCUUCAUUUCUUUUUCUUCAUUUUUGACAAAAAAGGGUAAUUUACCAUUUACCCCCUCAAAUUACUAAAACCCUAACUAUUUAAUCUAUUUUCCUAAUUACAUGUGAAUUUCUACGUCUUUUUCAACCCUAACUAGAAUUUUUCCUCUCUUCUCUUUAAAUACAUCUUUUUUCUUUUAUUCCCCUUUUUCUUUUCAUAAAAAUUUUACAUUCUUUGUUGGAAACUAGUCUUUUGAAAUCCCAAAUCAAAAUCAAUUCAUGAUUUAACCUGUCUCCCUUCCGAGCAUUGAAUUUAUCAUCGAUAACCUUUGGAAUUCCCCCAAAGAUCGAUAAGUAUUCUUGUUUCCAAUUAAAUAAAACUCAAAAAUUCUGGAAUAAAUAUCGUUCUUGUCAAAUCUUUCAAAUUGAUUACGACUCUUUUACGAGUUUUCUCGAAAAUCAUGAUACUUUUGAUGAAUCUUGAAAAUCGAUAUUAAUUCUCGCGUACUUGUCAUUUGAAAGACUCGUUGUAGGUAUCUCGAAUCAGGCUUGGACGUGAGGAUCAUUGUUCGAGACUUUGAAAGCCAGGUGUGUGUUUUUAUGAGAAAAUCGAGACAAAACCGAGUCUAGAUUAGACCACAUGGCCAGCCAUGCGGGCAUGUAAGCCACCCGUGUGGACCACACGACCACCUUACAUGGCCAUGUCCCCCCCUGAAACCCUAGAUUCUCACUUUUCACACAGUCUAGGACCCUCCACACAGUUGUGUCUCCCUUGUAGGUUGGAUUUUUGAACACCACACAGCCACAGUUUCUCACACGGCCGUGUACCCCCUUCACACAGUCCAGGGUUUCCUACACGGUCCAGUCACAUGGCCGUGUGUGCCCUAUAACUCAGGAUUUAUAGUUUUAACCUAAAAUUUUAUGUUUUGAUCAUAUUAGUCCUUGAAUAGGUUUCGAACUACUUUUAGUGAAUUAAAUUAUGCAAUUAGGUCCCUGAUGAUAAGAAAUAUGCUAGAAAUCAGGAUUGAUUAUUUAUUGUUGUAUUUAUUUAUAUUUAUGAAUAUUUGCAUAAGAAAUGAAUACAUUAUGUUGCUAUUGAAUCUAUACUUGCGAAUGGAUAUAUGACAUGCACUAUGAUACUGUUAACCCAAAUACUUGAUAGAAGCAUGACUUCGUUACUAAUUUGUCAUGUGUUAGUAAAUUAAAUACUAUCAUAUUUUGUCUAAAUUCAAUAUGUCAUAAUGCAUUGCAUAGGUUGGGAUGAUAUGUACAGAGGAAGAUCAAGCAAUCUAUUUGCAAGAAAAAUGGUGGUGCAAGGUCACAGCCAUACGACAGUUCUUAUUUGUAAAUUGUUGUGUACCUACAGCCAAAUUUAGAUUCCAUCUGUGGGUACUGUUGUGAAUCCACAGCCAAAGGUCGAUUCCAAUGGCAGGUUUAUGUUGUAAAAUCUAUAGCUAAAAAAUAAGUUUCAUCUGCAGGACUUUUGUUGUGAAGCCACAGCUAAAGGCAGAUUCCAACCAUGGGAACUUACUAUGUAACACCCCUAACCCUUAUCCGUCGCUAGAAUAGGGUUACUGGACAUUACUGAACCUUGCAGAAUAAAUAUGAACAUUUUAUAACAUUUAAUAAAUAUAUCAGAAAUCAAUCACAACUCACUCGUAUUGUUCCUUAUAUGGGCCCUCAAUGCCCAAAAUAAACAUUAGAAAUAAAUCCGGACUAAAUCAGAAACUUAAAGAAUUUUUCCCAAAAUUUCAAAAUUUACCUUAGGUGCAGAGGUUACACGGCCGUGUGUCCAGGCCGUGUGGUUUACACGGCCAAGAGACACGCCCAUGUCUUAGACUGUGUAACUCUCUGACUUGGGUCACACGACCAAGUCACACGCCCGUGUGUUAGGCCGUGUGAGUAUGUUAAUUUGUGAAAUUAAGGUGCAGGGGUCACAUGGCCAGGCCACACGCACGUGUGCUAGGCCGUGUGAAAAUACCUAGGCAUUAUGUUUCUAAAUUUUAAGGAUGCAGGGGAAACACAGCCAGACUACACGCCCAUGUGCUGACACACUGCUGAGACACACACUCGUGUCUCUGCCCGUGUGGACGAAAAUAGGCCAUCUUAAGGCCACACUUCUCACCCCUUUUUUAAAUCAACCUAUACACAACAUUUUGAUACAACAAUACAUCACAAGCAAGCAAUUAAAACCAACCAAAAUCAUGUUUUAAGUAUGACAUAACAUUCGAAAUACUCAAAUACCAAAACUUACCUAUUCAAUCCAUCUCAUUGGUUUAUCAAAAUCUACUACUAAUUAUGUAAACAUACAUACAACAUAUAUCAUUCACAACCACAUUUUAAAUUAUUUCAUUGUCAAAUCAUCCCUAUACAUGCCAUAUAAACCAAAAUAUAUAUUGCAAAAGCUACCGGAUUAAAUUGGAUAGUGUGACUUGAUGUGUUGAUCCGAUCUCCCGACCUCACGUUAAUCUACAAGAACAUUAAAAAACACGAGUAAACUUAAUGAAGCUUAGUAAGUUCGAUGGCUUUAAAUAUAAAUCUUACCGAACCUACUAUAACACAUCACCUUAAAUAAUUUCAUUCAAUGUAACUUCCUUGUCAAUCACAACAUAAAUCGAUGAACCCACUUCCUUCAAUUCAAUAUCAAUAAUGAUCAAUACAACUUUCAAUUUAAUUCACAUAAAAAUUUUACUAAAUCUUAUCAAAUUGGAGAACGACUUAUGGAUAUGAGUACAUCGUAUUCAGAAGCCCGAAGGCUAUACAGAAGCACAUAAGUGCUAAGCGGAAACCCAUAAGGGUUGAAUGGAAGCUCAUAGGAGCUGAACGAAAACCCAGAAGGGUUAAACAGAAGCUUAAAAGAGCUAAACGAAAACCCAUUAGGGUUAAAUGAAAACUCAUAUGAGUUAAACAGAAACUCGAAAGAGCUAAACGGAAAGUAAACACAAAAGUUCGCAACAAAUGCUGAACCUCAGUUUACUUGGGUAAUUUGUCGUCAAUUCAUCCUUUGUAUUCAUCGUCUAUUCAUCUUUUGCCAUAAAACGAUUGUACUAAAUCCAGCGUUCCACUCGUUUGAAAUUUUCAAUUCAAUUUCAUAAUUUCAAAAAUAAUUUUUUUUUAUUUUCAACAAUAGAUAUGAAUAAAUACAUAAUACCAUUCAUCAAUUUAAUAUAUAAACUUUAAAUUUUAACCAUACGAACUUACCUGGGUUAAAUUGUAAAAUUUGUAGAAGUUCAGUGCUAUUCUGCUAAUUUCCCUUUUUCACGUUUGUCUACGGAUUCUUGAUCUAAAAUAUAAAAUUAUCCAUUCAUUAGCAUUUAUUUCAAUUUCAAUUCACUUCACAAUUAAUACCCCUAAAUUUUUAAAAUUACACAAUUACCCUAACUUUUACAGUUUUUGCAAUUUAGUCCCUUACCAAUUAGUCCAUCAAAUGAACUAAUUUUUUUCUCAAUUGAAAAUUUAUCUAAAUAUUCUAAUCUAUCAUACAACUCUUGAUCAUCAGAAAUCUAAUACCAAACCCUAAUAUUUAUUCUUUUCACAAUUUAGUCCUAAAAUCAAUAUCUAUUAAAAUCACUUAAUAAAAUCAUCAUAUAAAAAAAUUUAAAGCUCUAAAUCCAUGUUAAUUCAUCAAAAAAAUUCAAUAUUCAUCAUUGGUAACUUUCAAAAUCUCUAAUAAAAACAAAAACCAAAACAAGACUUAAUUGGACCUAAAAUCAAUAUCUAUAUAUGAUUAUUUUAUGCAAUGUUAAUUAAUGUGUUUUAAUAACUAUCACAUUGAUUUUAUUGUAAAUGGACUCACAUUGAGAGUAAAAGCUCACCCCCUUAAAUUUUCAUCCUUAUAGAUAACCCACUAGGUUAGGACGAAGGCACGACAUCCGGAUGGUUUCGACAUUGUCUAUUUUAUUUCCAAUUUAUUAAGGCUUAAUCUUUUGAUUUAUUUUAUUUUAUUAUUUAAGGACUAUAAUAUUUUAUUUCAAACCGUGGCAUGAGAUUUAGGACUUCGGUUUAUUUUUAUUCUACAUGACAUUUUAUUUGAAUUCUUAAGAUAUUUUGCUUUGAUUAUUAAUUAGUAUGCAUGAACCUCAGUUUUAUUAAAUACGUAAGUAAAUGUCAUUUUUCUUCUGCUGCUAGAUGAUAAUUAAAACGUUGAGGAAUAGUUUUAAAUUAUGUUUUCUAUUAAAUUAGAUAAAAUUUUUAAAAUCAUUAUUUUCAAAAACUUCGAUAACCCUGCUAGCGGGUGGCUGAUGCAAUCUCCCGAAUUCAGUUCUAACGUCUAGGUCAGGUUGGGGAGGUUACAAUAGCAAGUGGAGGGAAUUGCUCAAGUGACCUUUCGGUUCCCCAUGUGUUCUCAUUCAUGGGGAGGUAUAACAAUAUUAGGUUAAAGGUGUUGAUUAUUGUUGAAUGUUUUUCUCUAUGCCUCCUAGGUAGUAAGUAGUAUAUGUAUAUUUAUAUGAAAUGAAUAUUGUUCAUUGACAUGACGUACUUGGUAGGUAAGCCUCAUACAUAUAGAUACGUAUCCUCCUUUAGACUAAACACGUGUUCAUAAGGUCUUAUGCGAACUUGGCUUGUACGUGUAACCCCGUGGGAAAGCGAGCUUGACCUAGCCUGGCUUGUGAGCCAAUCAAGGGAGCUCAACCUGCGAGCCUAUCCUAUGACCAGAUCAAGCGAGCCCAACCUACAAGCUUGGUUUGCGAGCCAAUCCUACUAACUUAUUACAAUUCGGCCCAAAUCCAUUUGUGCUUUGGCCGGUAAUGGUAAUUAUCCUAACAACUAUUUUGACCAAGAAAUCCAUGGAAUAAAGUUGCCCGGGAAUGCAAAGUUAGGAGAAGGAAAACCAGAGUCAUGCUUUAGUUUUUAAUCGUGGAGAAGCUCUUCAAACCAUUGGUAUGCAUGAAGACAGUUCAUUGGAAGAAGAGCUGGGUGAAGAAAUUUAUGGUAACGUGGUGAAAGUUGAGUUUGCCAAGCUAAACUGAUUUUCGUGUCAAAAUUUUCAUAUGGCACGUCUGAUCCUCCUUAAAUACUUGAUCCAUGAUUCUUCCGAAUAUGUAACUGGUAACAUUUUCAUUGUUGAUGCCGGGGUUACAUUGCCAGGCAUACCCAUAUUUUCUUCGCUUUGAAGCUCUUAUUAGAAUACUAAAAUAUUUGUAGUAUUCCUUGAUAGGAAUCUACCAGAAUAAUAAGCUUUGCAGUAACUCCUUAAACAAUAGCUAAAGCCAUCAUUUCAUGCAAGAUUGUAAACAAGGAUGAAAGUCAUCUAAUCCUUCCUUGUUUUUCACCCUGUAUAAGAUUUUGAAGUCUACUGGCGACCUGCCUAAAUAUUUAGUCAACACAAACGAAAUAAAAGCAAUCAUAUAACAUAACAUGACAUGUAUAAAUAUUUCUGCCUCCGCAUGAAACCACAGUUUAUCAAAUCAGAUAUUCGUCUAAAUCUUGAAACUUUAGCUAGAGACCAGUAAUUGGUUAAGAACACAUUUUAAAACUUGAACAAGUUUUUAUGAACCUUCAAUACUAGUCUACAUGUCAGAGAAAUUCUGCUCAUUGUUCUAUUCACAGUCUUGCUAUCUUCACUUCUAAUCACUUCAGCUUCGCUUGAGGUAGACCCGGACAAAGCGGACAAAGCUUCAAUUCCAUUUACAAUCUGGAAAGAGAACCGUGAUAGAAUGAUACUUGGCUAUGAAAAAUUGUUUAUUGAUACAUCUGAGACAAAUUAUUAGAGGUAAAAUUCUUUUUCACCUGUCGAAUACAAUUUCAUUUCUUACCUUAUCCAAUCGAUGUACUGCAUUAUCUUCAAUACCAUGCAAGUAAUCUGCAGUCAUAAGAACAGAAUUCUCAUAUUUAUAUUUCCUUUUUUGAAAGGUAAUAAAGACAUAUCCUAUAAACAACACAACUGAAAGCAGCCUAGGACAUCAACUUUCCUGAAUAUGCAUCAUCCUUGAAGAUCAAUAAACUGCGAGGCAUCAACAGGACGGAAAAGGGUUGAUGUUUAUCCAGCACAUCAUUUCCUUCAAUUUCCGCAGCCUUCACAUCAGAAGUUUUAUCUACUACACUUUCCAUCACCGUACUUUUGCAUGAAUUUAAUCUUGAAUGAGGAGUGAAGUCCAUAACAACAGGUGAUCCUAGAGACAGGAUUGCUACAACAGGGUAAUAAGCUGGCCCAUCCUGGUGUGGCUGUAAAACAGAUAAUUUCAGUACUAAAAAUUUGAUAUAGACCCUAGAGAGUAUCUUCUUUUCUUGGAGGGGGAAAGAACAAUAGAAAAUUUUUCCUAAUCCCAUCAUAAAAUAUGAUAUCAAGAAACUGACACGGUAGCAUGAUAUUCAUUUACUACAAAUGAAAAAGGAGACAUCUAAGAGUAGUAAUCGGAAUUUAAUAUCAGUUUUCUAAACAUUAAGAGUGUGCUUGGUUGAGUAGAAAAGUAGAAUGAUGGAAAGAGAUAGUGGGAAAAUAGAAAGAGAAUAAAUUUUGAGUGUACUUGAUAGAAAAGUGAGGAAAGAAAAUAAGAGACAUGGCCAUUUUCCCUCCUCAUAAAUAAAAGUAAAUUAUUUCAGGUUGGAAUGAUAAGUGGAGAUAAAAUGAAAGAGAUGUAUAGUGAUGCACUGUUCACAAGUUUCAUUUCAUUUUCUUUCCCCUUAUUUUUCAAUUCUACCAAGAAAAAAGAGAAAGAAAGUCAUUUUUUUCUUUCCCCUUAUUCUUUCCUACCAAGCACGCUAAUGGAAAGAAAUAAUAUAUUUUUCUACUCUUUCAAUUUUUCAUGUUUCCAAUUUUCUUUGCACUUUACCAAACAAAGAGUAAGCAUUUCUUAAAAGCUUCGGGAGAACGUGUUAUGUUAGAGUAAAGUAAUUUUAUUACAAAGAGGAAAAACCCAUAUACAUACAAACAAGAAAAAAGCCAGUACAAACCAUUAUUCCUUGGUUUGGAAGGUAUUCAUUGAUAAGAACAUGGUUGAUUGCUGAAGGAAAAAGUCCUGAUUCUUCACAUAUUCUUUCUGUAAUCUUAGCUAGCCAAGGUGGCACUACAAACAACAAAAAAAAAAGGAAGGCAUAGUUAAACUUGCCACCAACAACACAAAACCUAGUCUCAAAGCCUACCCGAGAUGGGGAAAAUGAAAAAAAAUAAAAAAAAAAUUCUACAGUUUAGAAAUGGCGUGCAGAGUGCAAAUAAUCUACUUACGAUCUUGUGACAGAAGACCCUUUUCAUGAACAACACCGCCUGUCAAUGUCAAAAAAAUAGGAAUGCAGUCCAUCAGAAGAAGAAACAGAACGCCAUCUUUACUUUUUCCAUAAUAUGCAUCUAGCUUUCAGAGAUUCUAAAAGUGAGUUAGAAUACAAGUAUUUUAACAAACCCCAAUUCUGGAGUCUCCUAUUCUUCAAAGAUUUCCACUUUGAUACAGGUGCUUGGUAGAUCUGUGUGUCAAUAGAAAAUGCGAUCAAUGAAUUUAGCUUUGGAACAAUCAUAAAGAGAAAAGAAAGAAAAUAACAAUCAUAAAUACAUUAUUUAGGAGCCGAGCUUGCUCAGAAUCUGUGAUGAAGUCAGGGAUGUAGAACAAUGUUGGCAAAUCCCCAACAAUGAAGUUAUUCAAAUUUUCUUUUCUCGCCAUUCUCCUACAACUGACAUUGCUAGUUAAUAGAAUCCAGAAAUCAGCCAAAACAAAACAGGUCAAGCAAAACUAACACACAGCAACCAAAAUUUUUUAGGCUGAUCAGAUUAUAAUUGGGUUUAUCUUCUUUUCUUUUUCUUUUUUGUUUUUGGAUUAUCAAUUACAUUGAAAACAGGAGCAAACUCUCAUUUCCCUUUAUCUAUAUUUUACAUAAGAAGUAUGAAAGAUGUUUAUACACAAAAGCAGGUGCCCUUCUGAACUGAUUUUUCUUACAUCAUGGUGCAUCCUAUACUCGUUAAUAUACUUUUGGUCAUAAAAAAGGAAUGCAUAAAUAUCAAAUUUACUUCAUGUUUUAGGUUCUUCUCUAAUGAUUAUAUAUUAAAUCUAAACAGAGAAUGGUAAAGAUGACAGAGAAAUUAAUAAAAUAAGCAAAAAACCAAAAGAAGUAAAGACGAGGACUUUGAUAUAUUUAAUCUUAGAUUAAAGUUUCACCUGUAGAAUAGUAGAAGGUUGCAGAGGAGGAUGAAAGGAUUGCUUGCAGUUGCAGCACUCGUACUAGCACACGCCUUUAGACGCAAGCUCCAGCCCUUCUCCGUGCCAAUUUUGCCCCAAAAAAGAAAACAUCUAUCUUCAUCAAUUGAAACCAGAACAACCCAAUUCCAUUAGUCAUAUUAACGUAUUAGCAAUCUAACCUCUAUACAAAAAUCAUUUUAACCCCGUAUUUAAUUUUUCAUAGUAAUCAAUUAUUUUUUAAAAAUUUUAAUAUAGUUUUAAUAAUUUUAUAAUUUUAAAAAAUUAAUUAAUUGUUGCCAUGCCACUCCCUAAUAAGUUGCACCCCUCUUUUUGUGAAAUAAAUCUUUUAUUAUUACUUGUUUUGUUUUGUUUUAUUUAUUUAUUAUUUUUAUUCAGAUCUGAAAUUUCAAAGAAAGAAGAGUGAAACUAAAGGAGGAUGAUCGAAAAGAGGAGUUCACAAUCCGUAAAGAUAAAAUGUUGGCGCAAGAGCAAUAAAGGAUAACAUUUAUGUAAAUAGAUGAGAUAGAAGUUGAUGGGAGUGAUUAUACCGGCACUAAUGUAUUGGAUCCUAUUAGAAUUCCGCAUUUAAGUAUGCUUGGGUAAGAGUAAUACUUAGAUGGUUAACUCUUGGGAAGUCCUCAUGUUGCAUCGCUCUUUUUCCGAUGUAAAUCUUUUACUAUUACUUGUUUAGAUUCAAAGUUCUAAGGAAUGAAUAAUGAAACAAAAUGAUGGUCCAAAAGAGGAUAUCACAAUCCGUCAAAGUAAAAUAUUGGUACAAGUGUGAUAAAUGAUAGCCUUUAUGUAAAUAAAUUGUGCAAAAGUUGAUGAGUGUGAUCUUAAAGUACUAAUGUACUGAAUCACAUUAAAACUUUACAAUUAAAUGUGUUUGGGCGAGAGUAAUAUUAGGAUAGAUAACUUUUUGAAAGGUCUUCAUGUCGCACCCUUUUUUUUGGAAAAUAGAUCUUUUAUUAUUAAUUGUUUUGUUUAUUUGUUUAUUAUUUUUAUUCAGAUUUGAGGUUUCAAGAAAAGAAAAAUGAAACGUAAAGAUGAUGGUCCAAAAGAAGAAACCAUAAUUUGUAAAGGUAAAAUGUUGGUGCAAGUGUAAUAAACGAUAACUUUUAUAUAAAUAGAUAAUGCGGAAGUUAACAGGUGCGACCAUACUAGCAUAAAUGGAUUGGAUUCAUCUGAAUUCCAUAGCUAACUGUGUUUGAACGAAAGUAGUAUUAGGAUGGGUUACCUCUUAGGGAGUUUUCGUGUUGCACCUCCUUUUUUGCGAGAUAAAUAUUUUGUUAUUACUUGUUUUAUUUUUAAAUUAUUUUUUUUACUCAAAUUUGAGGUUACGAAAAAGGAAGAACGAAAUAGAAGAAGGACGACGAAGAAGAGAAGUUCACAAUCUAUAAAAAUAAAAUGUUGGUGCAAGUGGGAUAAAAAGUAACCUUUAUGCAAGAAGGUAUUGGGAGGCGUAUGGCACUUAUGGGCGGAGGCUCAUGCCAUCCUUCUUGAUUUACAAUUUGCUCAUAAAUUUGGGUAUUGCUUAUGCACACUUAAUUCCCUUAAGCAUGUAUUUAACUUGAUUGGGAUGAGUCGAAAACAUUAGUUUAUUUGUUUCAGUAUGUAGGCCGAAUGAGCAGCGUUCGUUGAUUGGGCUUAACUAUCAUCGGUUUGGACUGCCCCCGAACUUCAUGACAUUGUAAUUCACAUGGUUGAUAAAACUGCCCUUUGCCACAUUUUACUUGAAAGGAAAACUUAGCUAUGGUUGUUAAAGCACCGACUCUUGAAUCAAAGAAACCGAAAGCAGUGGUUGCUUUGUCCAAGUUAUUUACGAAAGACUUUCAUGUCCACAAUGUUUUUCAUUUAUUUUGGACUUGGAUUAUAUGAUGGAAAUGCAAGGUUGCAGCUACUAGAGGGCAAAUGCAAGGAAAACCCCAGAACUGAAGUGGACACCGUUAAUUUGGCACGUGACCCCAAAUUUAAUGCUAAUUCGGUUGGCGUAGAUGAUUACGCCACAUUUCACUACACCGCACCACUUUGUUCUUCACAAUUCCAAAUCCAAAUUUUCUUCUCCUUGUGGCUAGAUCGGUUCUACACUGUUUCAGAUUGGAAUAUUAAAUAUUUACAUGGUAUGUGAAAAUUAAAAUUUAGAAGAAACACAGAGCACCGCAGCAAAACCAACAUGCAAUACCCAAUUUAUAUUUGAUUUCAUAAUUACUUGCAACUACAGUGAGGGAAAACAACAAAAUAUAUCUGUCGAAUCUAGAUUCUCCUCGGAAUAUACAUGCAUUACAUGCGUUUUAGAUCACACAGAGGAGGAGAUAUCCAAGUCUGGCAUCUUAGACGGUGAAAAUGCGAGGAAAAGGAGAGCCAGCAUCAUCACAACUGGGAUUAAGAGAAGGACGAAGGGCGGAGGCGGCAAUGGCGGCAACACCAGUGGCAGCACCAAAAGGAGCACAGCGAACACGGCCAAGAGCAUGAUUCGGCUUUAAGCUCCACUUCAUGAAAAUGUUGCAUGGAGCAGGAGACGGCGGCCGAGGGGCAGGACCAGACCGCCAGGGGUUGAUGGUUUUUGUUUUUAAAGAGAAAAGAGUGUUUGGGGGAGAGGAGCAAUAUUUGUUGACAGGUGAUGCUAUGUGAGAUGGGAAAUCUGAAGUCCGUUUUAGGACGCGCACAGCGCACACGCUACAUGUCCUGAUUCACCCAAUGCCAAACGUCUCAGUAAAUUAAAUCACUACCUAGUACCUACAAAUGCUACGCAAUUUUAACCCAAAUUUCUUUAAUGGGGGAUAAACUGCAAUUCUAAUAUUUGAUAGGGAUUUUUUCUUUUGGGUCUGCUCCCUAGAUUUUCUACCAUAAAAACAAAUCAUACCACUACACUAGAGCUGUCACUGUUGUUUAAAUUCGUGAUUUGAGUUUUUGGGGUCAACACCAACUCUCCUUAAGCCAAAAUAAAUAUUCUAAUGCCAUAGUUAAAUAUAUAUAACAAAUAAAUUGUUAUACAUAGAUUCAUCUAAAACUUCAUAUAAUGGAUUCGGA
rnacentral:lncRNA from 1 species